rnacentral:tRNA from 1 species
GGAGGCAUAGCUCAGUGGUAGAGUGCAUGUGUAGCGUGCACAAGGUCCUGGGUUCAAUCCCCAAUACCUCCA